rnacentral:misc_RNA from 1 species
GUAUUGAUAGCGCGUGAUUGCGCAAAGAACAUUCUACACUAGGGCGUUUGAUGUUAAAAACGUGAGCACCCCCCCCUCCGAGGAAGGGAGGACACACGCGGUGAUGCACAAGGGGUGAAAUGGAUGUGUGAGAGUGCUCAGGCGUGCACGACCUUUUGAAAGGUCAGCGACAGCCCUCGCACCCCCGUUGUAUGAUAAUGAUCCUUCCGCAGGUUCACCUACGGAAA